UUUUAACCUUCUCUCCGAAUGCAAACUCUAUAUUUUCUCAUUUUUCUCCCUUUUCUCUUACUUCUCCCACCUUUGAUUUUUCUUUCUAUUGUUUCUCUUUUUUUCUUUUCCUAUCUAAAUCAUCUUAGAUUUCCCCAGGCCUUUGGCAAUCAAUGAAUGGUGAAAAUAAUAGCAGCAACCAAUAUGGAAGAAUAAGAUGAACACAGCAUUACAACAUUGACAAUGCCCGAUUAAUCAGUUAUAGAUUGAAACCCUCUACCUUAAUACUAUCGUCGAUAUCUCCAUCACUGUUGUUUACAGUUGUGGAUAGCAUAAUUUUGCUUGUUACAAGGCCACAUUGAGAAUGUAUAACAUCUAAAGCAACAAUAGAGUACAACAAUACAACAAACAAAGUAAUCGUUAUUGUAGAGGCUUACAGGACUUUCAGGGAUAGAGGUCCUUAUCCUGCAGAUCAUGUUGUUAGGGUUCUUCAUUGAGAGUUUUUUCAUGGUCAAUGACAGCUCAUCAACAACUACCUUUUUAGCUGUUGAUAUGGAUGGGAGUGUUCCCUUCUUCUGAUGAAAAAAUGAAGCUAACAAGAAAAUUGUUAAAAUGGAUCAAGGUAAGAUGGCAAGACUGAUCGUAUCCAGGAACUAGCAGCAAUAAAUGUGACCCUCAAUGAACAAAGAGCUAGGAGUGAGAACUUGAAAAGCAUCAAGUUUGAUUUGGAUCUAAAAUCCACAAAUGACAUGGAUGCAGAUUUAGUAUCCAACUGAUGCAACUUGCUGGUUCAACAAGAACCGUCCGUGCUGGUUUAAAUUUUUUGGAAUUAGCGUAGUAUGAAAUUAGGCUUGUCAGAUUGAGAAACUACCGAUAUUGGAUUCAAAUGAUGUAUUUUUUUCUUUUAUGUUGUUGACACAAUUUUUUUACAUUGUCGAUU